UACGUAGGGUGCGAGCGUUAAUCGGAAUUACUGGGCGUAAAGGGUGUGCAGGCGGCUGAGUAAGACAGAUGUGAAAUCCCCGGGCUUAACCUGGGAACCGCAUAUGUGACUGCUAGGCUAGAGUGCGUCAGAGGGAGGUGGAAUUCCACGUGUAGCAGUGAAAUGCGUAGAUAUAUGGAAGAACACCAGUGGCGAAAGCGGCUCUCUGGUCUGUAACUGACGCUGAGGUUCGAAAGCGUGGGUAGCAAACAGG
rnacentral:rRNA from 1 species